AUUCAAGAUUUUCACCUCUCUCAAUUCUACACUUUCUGCCUUCAAAUUCAACAAUUGUUUUCUCUCGCCCUCAUCUCCUUCAAUCACCGAAACUAUAGCCACACAUUCAUGAAUCACCCACGCAAUUCGUCAAUCACUGAAACAAUCACUCACGAAUCUUUAAUUCAGCAUUAAUUAUCCAAGCUUUUGAAGCGCAUAAAUUUUCCAGGCCUUGUUUAUCUACAGAUUCACGAAUCAAUCUGCAUUCAAAUUCCAAUGUCAGCAGAUCUCACGAAGCUCAGAGAUUUCCCUCGCCCUUGAUCUCAUCAUUCAAAUUCGUCGAUUAGAAACAAUCUCCCUCGCCUUGUCCAUCUACUGAUUCACGAAUUAGUUUGUGAUGUAGCAGUUUUGGCUGCAGGUACUUGAUUUUCUCCAUGUUGUUAAUUUCCUCCCUGAUUUCCCCUUAAGCAAAUAAGUUUGGACGCCGACGCCGGCGAGAGAAAAACAGCCAUUCGCUGACAUUUUCAGUUUCAAGCUAAAAGACGUCAGUGAACUAAGGAAGAAAGAUUUUGCUAGGGACUUGAAACGCAACUCCCUGAGAUUCUUCGAAGAAGAAAUGCUGGUCACUCGUGACCACCACAAGGAGACCUCCAAAAGUGCAAAGAUGUUUAGUGCUGCAGCAAUGAUUGGUCAGAAAAAUAGAAGAGAAUGAGAAGUGUUUCCAUCUAAUCUCACCUAAAAUUAUUCUGAACUUUUGUUGUGUAUCUAUGGAG